UACGUAGGGUGCGAGCGUUGUCCGGAAUUAUUGGGCGUAAAGAGCUUGUAGGCGGUUUGUCGCGUCUGCUGUGAAAAUCCGGGGCUCAACCCCGGACUUGCAGUGGGUACGGGCAGACUGGAGUGUGGUAGGGGAGACUGGAAUUCCCGGUGUAGCGGUGAAAUGCGCAGAUAUCGGGAGGAACACCAAUGGCGAAGGCAGCUCGCUGGGACGGUACUGACGCUGAGGCGCGAAAGCGUGGGGAGCAAACAGG
rnacentral:rRNA from 1 species